UCUAUGGAACGGAUGAUGGCUAACGAGAAUUUACUUUUUUUGCUGUAUAUAUUGAAANNANUUCAAUAAGAGGACCACNGAAANAANCNAGAAAGACGAGAAGACCCUUUAAAGGUUUAUAUGGAAAANAAUCAUUUUAUAUUUGAUUUAUAUUGAAAUGGUUUAAAUCUGUAAUUUGUUGGGGCGACAUUAAGAUACACAAAACUCUUUUUUCAAAAAACUUUUAUGAAUGAUUUAUUUGAUCCUUUAGAAAAGACAAUAAGAAAAAAUUACCUUAGGGAUAACAGCGUAAUCUUUUUUGAGAGUUCUAAUCGACAAAAAGGUUUGCGACCUCGAUGUUGGACUAAAAUUUAGGUGGGGUGCAGCAGCUCCAUUUUUAGGUCUGUUCGACCUAUAAUAUUUUACAUGAUCUGAGUUCAGACCGGCGUGAGCCAGGUUGGU
rnacentral:rRNA from 1 species